UGCUAUUAAUGCUAAGCACAUUAGCAUUAUUGUGCUAACAAUCUAAUAAUGGAUUCUUUAAAUUGAAGUAUAAAUAAAAUAAACUUUAAAAAGUGAAUUUAAAUACUUUAAGCACUGCCCUGGAUGUUAAAUUAUGCAUCAUUUACUGUUAUUACUAUAACGAGCACAUGUAACAUCUAUCAAGGAUGUGACUGCUUACAAUUCUACAAAUCUUGAAAUGCGUUGCUCAAUGCUCAGCGUACAUUUUGCUGCACUUUCAGAUGACUCUUCUAUAAGAGGUGCUAUAAGUGAUGUAUAUUUUUUGUUUCGUGAAAAUGGUUUAAAAAAAAAUAGUAUUGUGCAAAGAACCAUGCAAAAAUAACCUUUAUUUAUUGAUAAUCUGCCCCUCUAAUCCUAAUUUUUGUGGAAAGGAACAAAACAUGGUGAAAUGUAUGUGCAUGUACAUUUGUGCAGUUUUGCAGAAAUGUAGUCUGUGUUACGUAUUUCCAAUGAGCCUGAGUAUGUAAAAUAAAAUGAUCAAAUCUUUUGCAACAUUAUAAAUGUCUGUUUUUGUUUUUGAGCAAUUUAAUUUUGCUGAAAAAGUAUUAAUUUCUUUCCUUAAAAACAACAGCAGCAAUAAAAGUAUCACACACACACACACACACACACACACACACACACACACACACACACACACACACACACACUCUCUCUCUCUCUCUCUCUCUCUCUCUCUCUCUUUCUCUCUCUAUAUAUAUUAAUGUCUAUCUUUUAAUAUUAUCACAAUGAUUCAAGUGGUAUGUAUGUUUAAAGUGUAUUGUAUUUGUUUACAGAUGCUGAUUUUAUGCCUGCAUCUUUGCUGUGCACUACAAAAUGGAAAGUGCAACUUUACAGUGGCAAUGGUGCAUACUGCUGGAAAAGUCACUUGCUUCAAGAUGAUGGAUGGACAUGUCCCAAUUUGCAUGUCUGGUGGUCAAACAUCUCAAUCAUGUGACAUUGCGUACAAAGAUGGGAUGACGUGUAUAAAGUGGCCAGCAGACAUCGAACUCACAUGUGUGAACGAUUCUGAUGAGAUGCAUAAGCUCAAUAUUGAAGAAAACAAGUGUGCCCAUGACCAAGAAUGUGAGUCAAAAGCAGUCAUUUUUUAUUUAGUUAUAAUGUACUUCAUCAUGAAGUAGGUAUUUAUUGAAUGUUUAUAUUUCUUUAAGCUAUUAGUUGCAAUGGAGAGUACAAAUCUGGUAAGUUUAUUUAAUCAAAGUUUUUUUGAUUAAUUUAAGCUCAUGUUUUUUAAACAAACAAAUUGCAUGACUGCACCCUGAAGUCAAUUAAUUGUUUUUUCCCCCAGAGCUUAGAAAUUCUGCAUCAACCCUGUCAUUGAGUAAGAAUGCAAAACAAUUAUAUGCUACAAGUUUGCAUCCAUCAUAAAAGAAUUCCACAUGUUCAUAUAUUGUAUGUAAACUAUUGAUCCUUUUGUUUUUUGCAGGCAUUCUUCUAAUUACUACCAUUGUCCACUGGGUGUCACUAUGGCACUACUAAUAUAGUAAUAUAGUGUAUAGUUCUGAGACACAUUACUCAAACUUAAAAAUAAUAAUAACAAUAAUAAUGUGUUCGAAUAAACCAUUUUUAUAUAUAUAUAAAAAAACUAUG
ensembl:lncRNA